rnacentral:miRNA from 1 species
UGACAUAGUUAGUACUACAUU